GGAUGCGAUCAUACAAGCACUAAAGCACUGGAUCCCAUCACAACUCCGAAGUUAAGCGUGCUUGGGCGAGAGUAGUACUAGGAUGGGUGACCUCCUGGGAAGUCCUCGUGUUGCAUUCC
rnacentral:rRNA from 1 species